rnacentral:rRNA from 1 species
AAAUUGAAGAGUUUGAUCAUGGCUCAGAUUGAACGCUGGCGGCAGGCCUAACACAUGCAAGUCGAACGGUAACAGGAAGCAGCUUGCUGCUUUGCUGACGAGUGGCGGACGGGUGAGUAAUGUCUGGGAAACUGCCUGAUGGAGGGGGAUAACUACUGGAAACGGUGGCUAAUACCGCAUAACGUCGCAAGACCAAAGAGGGGGACCUUCGGGCCUCUUGCCAUCAGAUGUGCCCAGAUGGGAUUAGCUUGUUGGUGAGGUAACGGCUCACCAAGGCGACGAUCCCUAGCUGGUCUGAGAGGAUGACCAGCCACACUGGAACUGAGACACGGUCCAGACUCCUACGGGAGGCAGCAGUGGGGAAUAUUGCACAAUGGGCGCAAGCCUGAUGCAGCCAUGCCGCGUGUAUGAAGAAGGCCUUCGGGUUGUAAAGUACUUUCAGCGGGGAGGAAGGUGUUGCGGUUAAUAACCGCAGCAAUUGACGUUACCCGCAGAAGAAGCACCGGCUAACUCCGUGCCAGCAGCCGCGGUAAUACGGAGGGUGCAAGCGUUAAUCGGAAUUACUGGGCGUAAAGCGCACGCAGGCGGUCUGUCAAGUCGGAUGUGAAAUCCCCGGGCUCAACCUGGGAACUGCAUUCGAAACUGGCAGGCUUGAGUCUUGUAGAGGGGGGUAGAAUUCUAGGUGUAGCGGUGAAAUGCGUAGAGAUCUGGAGGAAUACCGGUGGCGAAGGCGGCCCCCUGGACAAAGACUGACGCUCAGGUGCGAAAGCGUGGGGAGCAAACAGGAUUAGAUACCCUGGUAGUCCACGCCGUAAACGAUGUCUACUUGGAGGUUGUGCCCUUGAGGCGUGGCUUCCGGAGCUAACGCGUUAAGUAGACCGCCUGGGGAGUACGGCCGCAAGGUUAAAACUCAAAUGAAUUGACGGGGGCCCGCACAAGCGGUGGAGCAUGUGGUUUAAUUCGAUGCAACGCGAAGAACCUUACCUGGUCUUGACAUCCACAGAACU